CACCGCCGCGGGAAUACGGAGGGUGCAAGCGUUAAUCGGAAUUACUGGGCGUAAAGCGCACGCAGGCGGUCUGACAAGUCAGAUGUGAAAUCCCCGGGCUUAACCUGGGAACUGCAUUUGAAACUGUCAGGCUGGAGUCUUGUAGAGGGGGGUGGAAUUCCAGGUGUAGCGGUGAAAUGCGUAGAGAUCUGGAGGAAUACCGGUGGCGAAGGCGGCCCCCUGGACAAAGACUGACGCUCAGGUGCGAAAGCGUGGGGAGCAAACAGGAUUAGAUACCCCUGUAGUCCCUGUCUCUUAUACA
rnacentral:rRNA from 1 species